CCUACUGGGGGCAGCAGUGAGGAAUAUUGGUCAAUGGACGAGAGUCUGAACCAGCCAAGUAGCGUGAAGGAUGACUGCCCUAUGGGUUGUAAACUUCUUUUAUAUGGGAAUAAAAUGUUCCACGUGUGGGAUUUUGUAUGUAACAUAUGAAUAAGGAUCGGCUAACUCCGUGCCAGCAGCCGCGGUAAUACGGAGGAUCCGAGCGUUAUCCGGAUUUAUUGGGUUUAAAGGGAGCGUAGGUGGAUUGUUAAGUCAGUUGUGAAAGUUUGCGGCUCAACCGUAAAAUUGCAGUUGAAACUGGCAGUCUUGAGUACAGUAGAGGUGGGCGGAAUUCGUGGUGUAGCGGUGAAAUGCUUAGAUAUCACGAAGAACUCCGAUUGCGAAGGCAGUUCACUGGACUGCAACUGACACUGAGGCUCGAAAGUGUGGGUAUCAAACAGGAUUAGAUACCCGGGUAGUC
rnacentral:rRNA from 1 species